UACGUAGGUGGCAAGCGUUGUCCGGAUUUACUGGGCGUAAAGAGCGCGCAGGCGGUCGGUCAAGUCGCGUGUGGAAGCCCCCGGCUCAACUGGGGAGGGUCACGCGAUACUGAUCGACUCGAAGGCAGGAGAGGGUAGUGGAAUUCCCGGUGUAGUGGUGAAAUGCGUAGAUAUCGGGAGGAACACCAGUGGCGAAGGCGGCACUCUGGGCCGGAACUGACGCUGAGGAGCGAAAGCGUGGGGAGCAAACAGG
rnacentral:rRNA from 1 species